UACAGAGGUCUCAGGCGUUGUUCGGAUUCAUUGGGCGUAAAGGGUGCGUAGGCGGCGCCGUAAGUCUGGUGUGAAAUCCCGGAGCUUAACUCCGGAACUGCACUGGAUACUGCGGUGCUCGAGGACUGGAGAGGAGAUUGGAAUUCACGGUGUAGCAGUGAAAUGCGUAGAUAUCGGGAGGAACAUCAGUGGCGAAGGCGGCUGCCUGGCCCAAUACUGACACUCAGGUGCGACAGCGUGGGGAGCAAACAGG
rnacentral:rRNA from 1 species